AUUGAACGCUGGCGGCAGGCCUAACACAUGCGAGUCGAGCGGAUGAAGGGAGCUUGCUCCUGGAUUCAGCGGCGGACGGGUGAGUAAUGCCUAGGAAUCUGCCUGGUAGUGGGGGAUAACGUCCGGAAACGGGCGCUAAUACCGCAUACGUCCUGAGGGAGAAAGUGGGGGAUCUUCGGACCUCACGCUAUCAGAUGAGCCUAGGUCGGAUUAGCUAGUUGGUGGGGUAAAGGCCUACCAAGGCGACGAUCCGUAACUGGUCUGAGAGGAUGAUCAGUCACACUGGAACUGAGACACGGUCCAGACUCCUACGGGAGGCAGCAGUGGGGAAUAUUGGACGAUGGGCGAAAGCCUGAUCCAGCCAUGCCGCGUGUGUGAAGAAGGUCUUCGGAUUGUAAAGCACUUUAAGUUGGGAGGAAGGGCAGUAAGUUAAUACCUUGCUGUUUUGACGUUACCAACAGAAUAAGCACCGGCUAACUUCGUG
rnacentral:rRNA from 1 species